rnacentral:rRNA from 1 species
AUUGAACGCUGGCGGCAGGCCUAACACAUGCAAGUCGAGCGGAAGAAGGGAGCUUGCUCCUGGAUUCAGCGGCGGACGGGUGAGUAAUGCCUAGGAAUCUGCCUGGUCGUGGGGGAUAACGUCCGGAAACGGGCGCUAAUACCGCAUACGUCCUGAGGGAGAAAGUGGGGGAUCUUCGGACCUCACGCUAUCAGAUGAGCCUAGGUCGGAUUAGCUAGUUGGUGGGGUAAAGGCCUACCAAGGCGACGAUCCGUAACUGGUCUGAGAGGAUGAUCAGUCACACUGGAACUGAGACACGGUCCAGACUCCUACGGGAGGCAGCAGUGGGGAAUAUUGGACAAAGGGCGAAAGCCUGAUCCAGCCAUGCCGCGUGUGUGAAGAAGGUCUUCGGAUUGUAAAGCACUUUAAGUUGGGAGGAAGGGCAGUAAGUUAAUACCUUGCUGUUUUGACGGUACCAACAGAAUAAGCACCGGCUAACUUCGUG